GUAGUCCACGCCGUAAACGAUGGAUGCUAGCUGUUAGAGGUAUCGACCCCUCUAGUAGCGAAGCUAACGCGUUAAGCAUCCCGCCUGUGGGGUACGGUCGCAAGACUAAAACAUAAAGGAAUUGACGGGGACCCGCACAAGCGGUGGAGCGUGUUGUUUAAUUCGAUGGUAAACGAAGAACCUUACCCAGGCUUGACAUCCUUGGAAUUUUGCCGAAAGGCGAGAGUGCUUUAUUGAGCCAAGUGACAGGUGUUGCAUGGCCGUCGUCAGCUCAUGUCGUGAGAUGUUUGGUUAAGUCCAUCAACGAGCGCAACCCUUAUGGUCUGUUGUAUUUCUCAGGCCAGACUGCCCUGGUAACAGGGAGGAAGGGGGGGAUGAUGUCAGGUCAGUAUUACCCUUACGUCUGGGGCUACAAACACGCUACAAUGGCCGGUACAAAGGGCUGCCAAGUCGCGAGACGGAGCAAAUCCCAUCAAAGCCGGUCUCAGUUCGGAUAAGAGGCUGAAACUCGCCUCUUUGAAGUCGGAAUCGCUAGUAACGGUAGGUCAGCUAUACUACCGUGAAUACGUUCCCGGGUCUUGUACACACCGCCCGUCAAACCAUGAAAGUCGCCAAUACCUGACGUGUGAGCUUCGCCUCGCCCUAAGGUAGGGGAGAUGAUUGGGGUU
rnacentral:rRNA from 1 species